rnacentral:lncRNA from 1 species
GCUUACAUUGCCUCGGCGACGUCGCCUCCUUUUCUUCUCCUCAUCCGCAGCGUUCGGUGAAGACAUAGAAGGCCGUAGACGUCUCUGACCUUCGACGCAACACCACGAGGAGAAGAACGCAGUCUUCUCUUCAUCUACGACUUUCGGCGAAGACAUCGAAGGCUGUAGACGUCUUCGGCCUUUGACGUGACGUGACGAGGAGAAGAACGUGGUCUUCUCUGCAUCUGCAACGUUCAACGAAUACGUUGAAGGUCGCAAACAUCUUCGGCCUUCGGUGCGACGCGACGCGAUAAGAAGAAGAACACGGUCUUCUCCUCAUUUGUGGCAUCCGGCGAAGACAUCGAAGGUCGCAUAUGUCUUCGGCCUUUGGCAAAGAACGUGACAAAGAAGAAGCCGAGUCGUUGCCUCUCUAUUACCUGCUAAAUCAGGAUCGUCAAGGGUGGGUGUGGCGCUAGAUUGAAAAGCGUCGAGGUUCUCCCGAUUCUCCCUCUUCUUCGAGUGUCUUCUCCCUUGACGCUUCUUCCCUCGCCGCAACUAGGUUGAUACUGCCCAGUAGCGGGCAGUUCGCGUACUGGUCUGUUGACGGACCGAUAUGUAUUGCCUUGUAUGGGUGGAAUUAUUCAAAAUUAAAAUCCUUGGUUUUUAUUGAUUUAGAGAAAGCAUAUAAUAGAGUUCCUAGAGAUAUAUUAUGG